rnacentral:rRNA from 1 species
GCGGACAGAUGGGAGCUUGCUCCCUGAUGUUAGCGGCGGACGGGUGAGUAACACGUGGGUAACCUGCCUGUAAGACUGGGAUAACUCCGGGAAACCGGGGCUAAUACCGGAUGGUUGUUUGAACCGCAUGGUUCAAACAUAAAAGGUGGCUUCGGCUACCACUUACAGAUGGACCCGCGGCGCAUUAGCUAGUUGGUGAGGUAAUGGCUCACCAAGGCAACGAUGCGUAGCCGACCUGAGAGGGUGAUCGGCCACACUGGGACUGAGACACGGCCCAGACUCCUACGGGAGGCAGCAGUAGGGAAUCUUCCGCAAUGGACGAAAGUCUGACGGAGCAACGCCGCGUGAGUGAUGAAGGUUUUCGGAUCGUAAAGCUCUGUUGUUAGGGAAGAACAAGUACCGUUCGAAUAGGGCGGUACCUUGACGGUACCUAACCAGAAAGCCACGGCUAACUACGUGCCAGCAGCCGCGGUAAUACGUAGGUGGCAAGCGUUGUCCGGAAUUAUUGGGCGUAAAGGGCUCGCAGGCGGUUUCUUAAGUCUGAUGUGAAAGCCCCCGGCUCAACCGGGGAGGGUCAUUGGAAACUGGGGAACUUGAGUGCAGAAGAGGAGAGUGGAAUUCCACGUGUAGCGGUGAAAUGCGUAGAGAUGUGGAGGAACACCAGUGGCGAAGGCGACUCUCUGGUCUGUAACUGACGCUGAGGAGCGAAAGCGUGGGGAGCGAACAGGAUUAGAUACCCUGGUAGUCCACGCCGUAAACGAUGAGUGCUAAGUGUUAGGGGGUUUCCGCCCCUUAGUGCUGCAGCUAACGCAUUAAGCACUCCGCCUGGGGAGUACGGUCGCAAGACUGAAACUCAAAGGAAUUGACGGGGGCCCGCACAACCGGUGGAGCAUGUGGUUUAAUUCGAAGCAACGCGAAGAACCUUACCAGGUCUUGACAUCCUCUGACAAUCCUAGAGAUAGGACGUCCCCUUCGGGGGCAGAGUGACAGGUGGUGCAUGGUUGUCGUCAGCUCGUGUCGUGAGAUGUUGGGUUAAGUCCCGCAACGAGCGCAACCCUUGAUCUUAGUUGCCAGCAUUCAGUUGGGCACUCUAAGGUGACUGCCGGUGACAAACCGGAGGAAGGUGGGGAUGACGUCAAAUCAUCAUGCCCCUUAUGACCUGGGCUACACACGUGCUACAAUGGACAGAACAAAGGGCAGCGAAACCGCGAGGUUAAGCCAAUCCCACAAAUCUGUUCUCAGUUCGGAUCGCAGUCUGCAACUCGACUGCGUGAAGCUGGAAUCGCUAGUAAUCGCGGAUCAGCAUGCCGCGGUGAAUACGUUCCCGGGCCUUGUACACACCGCCCGUCACACCACGAGAGUUUGUAACACCCG